rfam:Pteropus alecto contig6169, whole genome shotgun sequence.
AUUCCACAGAAUAUUAAAAUGUUUCUAUCCUAAACUACUAUAGAGACUGAUCUCAGAAGCUAAGCAGGGUCGGGCCUGGUUAGUACUUGGAUGGGAUACCACCUAGGAAUACCAGGUGCUGUGGGUGU